AUUCCUACGGGGGGCAGCAGUGGGGGAUAUUGGACAAUGGGGGAAACCCUGAUCCAGCGACGCCGCGUGAGUGAAGAAGUAUUUCGGUAUGUAAAGCUCUGUCAGCAGGGAAGAAAGAAACGACGGUACCUGACCAAGAAGCCCCGGCUAACUACGUGCCAGCAGCCGCGGUAAUACGUAGGGGGCAAGCGUUAUCCGGAAUUACUGGGUGUAAAGGGAGCGUAGACGGCGGUGCAAGCCAGAUGUGAAAGCCCGGGGCUCAACCCCGGGACUGCAUUUUGAACUGUGCUGCUAGAGUGUCGGAG
rnacentral:rRNA from 1 species